rnacentral:rRNA from 1 species
UACGUAGGGUGCAAGCGUUGUCCGGAAUUAUUGGGCGUAAAGAGCUCGUAGGCGGUUUGUUGCGUCGGCUGUGAAAUCCCGAGGCUCAACCUCGGGUCUGCAGUCGAUACGAGCAAACUAGAGUGUUGCAGGGGAGACUGGAAUUCCUGGUGUAGCGGUGAAAUGCGUAGAUAUCGUAAGGAAGACCAGUGGCGAAGGCGGGGUCUCUGGAC